CGUAACGAAACUAAAAAUAUAAUUACAUAUUUUUCCAGCAUCAUUGACUACUUGGUGUAUUUAGAAUAGCCGGCGGAGUAAAUGAGAAACUUCCGCGGAUCGAUUAUUAGAAAACUUUUGCCAUCGUGUCCAUUUCGCUAUGCGCGCAUCUUAUUAUACUCGGCGCUUUGUAGGACGAAGGUAUCCGAUCGAUUCAGGCACAGCACGUAGGAGAAGGCUUAGCUGCGCGAUAAAAAAGGAUGUUCUACAGUGGGGACGUGAAGAGAAAAAAUUGGAGUUUCAAUAGCGGAGUUCGAGCUCGUUCGGCUGCAAGAGCGAAAAUAAUGUGACGCCAAUUCUGCACUUUUGCGAAGUUCCUUUGAGAAAAUUUUCAAU